ACGGGUGAGUAACACGUAGGCAACCUGCCCUCAAGCUUGGGACAACUACCGGAGACGGUAGCUAAUACCGAAUACUUGUUUUCUUCGCCUGAAGAGAACUGGAAAGACGGAGUAAUCUGUCACUUGGGGAUGGGCCUGCGGCGCAUUAGCUAGUUGGUGAGGUAACGGCUCACCAAGGCGACGAUGCGUAGCCGACCUGAGAGGGUGAUCGGCCACACUGGGACUGAGACACGGCCCAGACUCCUACGGGAGGCAGCAGUAGGGAAUCUUCCGCAAUGGGCGAAAGCCUGACGGAGCAAUGCCGCGUGAGUGAUGAAGGUUUUCGGAUCGUAAAGCUCUGUUGCCAGGGAAGAACGCUUGGGAGAGUAACUGCUCUCAAGGUGACGGUACCUGAGAAGAAAGCCCCGGCUAACUACGUGCCAGCAGCCGCGGUAAUACGUAGGGGGCAAGCGUUGUCCGGAAUUAUUGGGCGUAAAGCGCGCGCAGGCGGUCAUGUAAGUCUGGUGUUUAAUCCCGGGGCUCAACCCCGGAUCGCACUGGAAACUGCGUGACUUGAGUGCAGAAGAGGAGAGUGGAAU
rnacentral:rRNA from 1 species